GCCACGAACUAGGCCAUCAUCAUCUGGACAAUACACUCCCAGACCCGCAUCAUGGCAAUACCCACAGGAAAGGACUGAAACACCCCCCUCAUUGUGGAGUCCCUCGAGGGAAGCCAGUGGAGUGACACAAUCAGAAGAUGUAGAGGAAGGUGCUGCAGGUGCUUCAGACACAUCUGUGCGAGAUAUGAGCAUUAGCUUUGGGGAAAUGGAUUUGGACCCUAAAGACACCAGUUUUGUGCUCCCGAGUGACACCACCUCAUCCAGCCCAAGCUCUGGCUCUGUCUCCAGC